rnacentral:rRNA from 1 species
UACGUAGGGUGCAAGCGUUAAUCGGAAUUACUGGGCGUAAAGCGUGCGCAGGCGGUGAUGUAAGACAGAUGUGAAAUCCCCGGGCUCAACCUGGGAACUGCAUUUGUGACUGCAUCGCUGGAGUACGGCAGAGGGGGAUGGAAUUCCGCGUGUAGCAGUGAAAUGCGUAGAUAUGCGGAGGAACACCGAUGGCGAAGGCAAUCCCCUGGGCCUGUACUGACGCUCAUGCACGAAAGCGUGGGGAG